rnacentral:piRNA from 1 species
CUGUCAUAUGGUGAUAAUGGUCC